CCUACGUGAGGCAGCAGUGAGGAAUAUUGGUCAAUGGACGAGAGUCUGAACCAGCCAAGUAGCGUGAAGGAUGAAUGCCCUAUGGGUUGUAAACUUCUUUUAUAUGGGAAUAAAGUGUUCCACGUGUGUGCUUUUGUAUGUACCAUAUGAAUAAGGAUCGGCUAACUCCGUGCCAGCAGCCGCGGUAAUACGGAGGAUCCGAGCGUUAUCCGGAUUUAUUGGGUGUAAAGGGAGCGUAGGUGGGAUGUUAAGUCAGUUGCGAAAGAUUGGGGCUCAACCGUAAAAGUGCAGUUGAAACUGGCAGUCUUGAGUACAGGAGAGGUGAGCGGAAUUCGUGGUGUAGCGGUGAAAUGCUUAGAUAUCACGAAGAACUCCGAUUGCGAAGGCAGCUCACUGGACUGCAACUGACACUGAGGCUCGAAAGUGUGGGUAUCAAACAGGAUUAGAUACCCGUGUAGUC
rnacentral:rRNA from 1 species